rnacentral:tRNA from 1 species
GGCCAGUAGCUCAAUUGGCAGAGCAGCGGUCUCCAAAACCGCAGGUUGGGGGUUUCUUCGCUCUAUGGUUG